AUUGAACGCUGGCGGCGUGCCUAACACAUGCAAGUCGAGCGGGUAACAGGUGUAGCAAUACAUGCUGACGAGCGGCGGACGGGUGAGUAACGCUUGGGAAUCUGCCUAUUAGUGGGGGACAACCCGGGGAAACUCGGGCUAAUACCGCAUACGCUCUACGGAGGAAAGCCGGGGACCGCUAAAGGCCUUGGCGCUAAUAGAUGAGCCCAAGUCGGAUUAGCUAGUUGGUAGGGUAANGGCCUACCAAGGCGACGAUCCGUAACUGGUCUGAGAGGACGACCAGGUCACACCGGAACU
rnacentral:rRNA from 1 species